UUUGGUGGUUAUAUAGCAGGUGUUCACCUCUUCCCAUUCCGAACAGAGAAGUUAAGCCCUGUUUAGCCGAUGAUACUGGACUAACCCGUCUGGGAAAGUAGGUUGCUGCCAGAA
rnacentral:rRNA from 1 species